CAAAUUUUCCCUGGCAGCAUAUGGGUGAAAACGCUGGAGGAGAAAGUCAUUGCUUUGUUAUUGGCCCUUGGACGCCCCUGGCAUCUUGUGUACAGCACAACGUUUUCAGCUAUAAAGAUUUCCAGUGACUCCAGAAUGAAAACCAAGCUCUGAG